AACGAACGCUGGCGGCGUGCCUAACACAUGCAAGUCGAGCGCGAAAGUCCCUUCGGGGGCGAGUAGAGCGGCGGACGGGUGAGUAGCACGCGGAUAAUCUGCCUUCGGGUUUGGGAUAACCCCGCGAAAGUGGGGCUAAUACCGGAUAAGACCACGUAACCCAGGUUACGGGGUAAAAGAUGGCUUGUACUCGUACACGCUAUCACCUGAAGAUGAGUCCACGGCCUAUCAGCUUGUUGGUGAGGUAACGGCUCACCAAGGCUAUGACGGGUAGCUGGUCUGAGAGGACGACCAGCCACACUGGGACUGAGACACGGCCCAGACUCCUACGGGAGGCAG
rnacentral:rRNA from 1 species